GACGAACGCUGGCGGCGUGCCUAAUACAUGCAAGUAGAACGCAGUUUCGGACGUGUGAGUGACGCGUAGGUACCUGCCUCCUAGCGGGGGAUAACUGUUGGACACGAUAGAUAAUACCCCAUUCUGUAAGCUUGACCUGCGUUGUAUUGGCUAGUUGUUUAGGUAAAGGCUUACCAAGGCGACGAUACAUAGCCGACCUGAGAGGGGGAUCGGCCAAACUGGGACUGGGACAAGGCCCAGACUCCGACGGGAGGCAGCAGUAGGGAAUCUUCGGAAAUGGGGGGAACCCUGACCGAGCAACGCCGCGUGAGUGAAGAAGGUUUUCGGAUCGUAAAGCUCUGUUGUUAGGGAAGCGGUAAUUAACCAGAAAGGGACGGCUAACUACGUGCCAGCAGCCGCGGUAAUAC
rnacentral:rRNA from 1 species